AAGCACAGCAAUAUCAGCCUCCUGCAUGCAGCUACCCUUAGAGAGGACACAACUUUUGGAACAAGGAUUGUCUCAUAUUUAUGUUACAGAAGGAGGAGCCAGUCUUGGAUAAGACCUGAGGUGAUCUGUGUUCAUGUUCCUGCUCCUGCUCAGGCAGAAUGAAGAUGUGAAAAAAAGAUCUCCCACCUCCAGUGUUGGAUCUUUUAUUCCUGGUAUUCCAGUAACCAGCUCUGUAUGUGAACGUUUUGAAGUUACUCUCACUUUCUUUUUGGGCGGUUCAGCAGGGACUUCAGCUUCUUCUGCAACUGAAGUGGGAAGGAUCGCC